UGAUAUUUUAUUCAGCCCUCCAUUAUAACAUAAUAAACAAAGGAGUCACUGGAAAAAUUCCUUUAACGUGUAUUGUUUCCAGCUCGCCAUUUUUAGAUGACACUCCAGGCACUACCAACAGCAAUCUCACAAAGUCCCAGGAUGGUCUUCCCUCUGACAAUUCUUGUCCUUCCUGGACCUUAAGCAACACUUGCCUGUUUGGAUUGCCUUGGAUCCCAUACUUCCAAGACUCCUCGACGAAGCCAUCCUACCAGUCACUUCUACCUAAAAUGCCUCAUUCUUUAGUCCAUGAGAGUGCAAACGUGGCUACAUUCUAGGUGUUCUAGGUGAUUCUGUGAUAAUCUUGACAACUCGGUUGCUGAAGCAUUCUUAAAUUUAAUUUUUAAACCAAUCGCUAUAGAUUUUGGAACUUUCCUGUGCCACCUCCUGAGACGCCACCUAGAAGUUAGGGUUGAGACAGUGCCUAAUGUGUCGUGUUUUUAGGAAGUGUUUCUUUUAAGCGAUGUGGCAAUAUAGCCCUUGCACAUUCUCUUAUGAUAAGACAUUUGUAUAUAAUUUUUAUGUGGAGAUAAUUUUACAAAUAAAAUCUGCUGUGUCUUUGUGGCUAUACUUCUUGAUGUCUGAGGAAUAACCUCAGAAUAGGGCCUAAGCUGAGAGGUUGGUGUGGAAGUAUCGUUGUCACCCACCCCACUGUUAGUAGCUGUUCAAGAAACCGCUUACAGAGGUACUGCUGGUUACGCCUGGUAAUGCGUUGGAAUUCUUUUAGUUUAACUUCUUAUGGUGAGUGGAGAUGAGGUUGGAAAAAAGAGUUGAUAAAGGACUUUCAGAAAGUUAAGCGAGUGAUUCACGCCUGCCACUUAAUUAAGCACACCUUCACGCCAGGAACCUUGCUCAAUAUUAGCUACUGUAUUAGUCUCUUUUAAAACCAAUCUUGGACUUGGAAUCCUUGUCUCAGAGCCUGAUUCUGUUCAGAUUACAUGCCACUCACUAGCUUUGUGAAUCGGCAGAUUAUUUAACUCCUCCAUGUAUCACUUGAUCAUCUGUAAGAUGGGAAUAAAAUAUCUACCUCCUAGGACUGUUUUAGUGACUAAAUGAGUUAAUUUAUAAAAAACUUUUAGA